UUUUGAAUUUAAUUUAAAGUCUGAUCUGCCCACUGAUAAAUUAUUGAAUGGCCGCGGAAUUUUAACUGUGCAAAGGUAGCAUAAUCAUUAGUCUUUUAAUUGGAGGCUUGUAUGAAUGAUUGGACGAGAUAUAGACUGUCUCAAAAUUGAAUUAAUUGAAUUUUACUUUUUAGUUAAAAGGCUAAAAUUUUUUUGAAAGACGAGAAGACCCUAUAGAUCUUUAUAUUUAUUAUAUUAAUUAUUUUUUGGUUAUUUUUUAUAAUUAAUUUAGUAAUUAUUUUAUUGGGGCAAUAUUGAAAUUUUAUUAAUUUUCAAUUAUAUUUUACAUUAAUAUAUGAAUUAUUGAUCCAGUAUUAUUGAUUAAAAGUUUAAGUUACCUUAGGGAUAACAGCGUAAUUAUUUUGGAGAGUUCUUAUCGAUAAAAUAGUUUGCGACCUCGAUGUUGGAUUAAGAUUAAUUUUAGGCGUAGCAGUUUAAAAUAUUGAGUCUGUUCGACUCUUAAUAUCUUACGUGAUCUGAGUUCA
rnacentral:rRNA from 1 species